GAUGAAGAACGUAGCUAAAUGCGAUAAGUAAUGUGAAUUGCAGAAUUCAGUGAAUCAUCGAAUCUUUGAACGCACAUUGCGCCCCCCAGUAUUCUGGCGGGCAUGCCUGUUCGAGCGUCAUUUCAACCAUCAAGCCCUGCUUGUGUUGGGGUCCUGCGGCUGCCCGCAGGCCCUGAAAACCAGUGGCGGGCUCGCUAGUCACACCGAGCGCAGUAGCACAUCUCGCUCAGGGCGUGCGGCGGGCUCCAGCCGUUAAAGCACCCACCUUUCGCAAGGUUGACCUCGGAUCAGGUAGGAAUACCCGCUGAACUUAAGCAUAUCAAUAAGCGGAGGA
rnacentral:misc_RNA from 1 species